AUUGAACGCUGGCGGCAUGCCUUACACAUGCAAGUCGAACGGCAGCACGGGUGCUUGCACCUGGUGGCGAGUGGCGAACGGGUGAGUAAUACAUCGGAACGUACCUUAUCGUGGGGGAUAACGCAGCGAAAGUUGCGCUAAUACCGCAUACGCCCUGAGGGGGAAAGCGGGGGACCGUAAGGCCUCGCGCGAUUAGAGCGGCCGAUGUCUGAUUAGCUUGUUGGUGAGGUAAAAGCUCACCAAGGCGAUGAUCAGUAGCUGGUCUGAGAGGACGAUCAGCCACACUGGGACUGAGACACGGCCCAGACUCCUACGGGAGGCAGCAGUGGGGAAUUUUGGACAGUGGGGGCAACCCUGAUCCAGCAAUGCCGCGUGAGUGAAGAAGGCCUUCGGGUUGUAAAGCUCUUUUGUCAGGGGAGAAACAGCAGCUCUAACACAGUCUGCGAAUGACGGUACCUGAAGAAUAAGCACCGGCUAACUACGUGCCAGCCGCCGCGGUAA
rnacentral:rRNA from 1 species